CGUAGGGAGCUAAGCGUUGUCCGGAUUCACUGGGUGUAAAGGGUGCGUAGGCGGGACAAUAAGUCAGUGGUGAAUUCUUACGGCUCAACCGUGAAACUGCCAUUGAUACUGUUGUUCUUGAGUUCGGGAGAGGUUGAUGGAAUUCCAGGUGUAGCGGUGAAAUGCGUAGAUAUCUGGAAGAACACCAGUGGCGAAGGCGGUCAACUGGCCCGAAACUGACGCUGAGGCACGAAAGCGUGGGUAGCGAACAGGAUUAGAUACCCUGGUAGUCCACGCCCUAAACGAUGAAUGCUUGGUGUUGGCCGGAAACGGUCAGUGCCGGAGGUAACCUGGUAAGCAUUCCACCUGGGGAGUACGCUCGCAAGGGUG
rnacentral:rRNA from 1 species